GGCUCUCUCCGGAUCGCAGGUGCUCUGGGUCACCAACCAGAGACUUCACAAUCUCUGGUAAAAAAAAAAAAUGUUCAUAACGGACUUCAAAGAAACAUUAACAGAAUAAGCACUUAACAAAGGCAACUCAACUAACAAGAACGCCUCAGGAAAAGUUGGUAGCUUAAAGACAAGAUGUUAUCAGGGGCCACAUCAUCUAAAGACUUGACUGGAUCUGGGGGAACCGCGUCAAGAUACUUUGUUCCCGUGGCCGCUGUCUUAGAUGCCACUAAGUGAAGACAUUGGAUACAAAUGGGCAGAUGCAUUGGAUACAUGUACCAAAGGAGAAUCCAAGCUACCUGAGACUCCAUCCA